AGCAGAGGAUAAAGACUUCUCCUAAAAGAACAAAGUAAAAAUGGAAAAGAAAAAGUACGUAAAAAUCAGUUUGACCUUCCAUAUGAAAAGCAGUGUCAUUAGACAAUAAUUAUUAUCAGACAAGGUUUAAGGCAACAACUGUUUGCAGCAACUCUGGGAGUCCUAACAUGGUCACUAUGUCUUGUCUUGCAUGUGAUGGUUGGUUUGUUUGCCUUUUUUUUUUUUCUAGCUCUCUCUCUUCAAAAACAGAGAAAUCUUCUUUUUU
rnacentral:lncRNA from 1 species